GAUGAAGAACGUAGCGAAAUGUGAUAAGUAGUGUGAAUUGCAGAAUUCAGUGAAUCAUCGAAUCUUUGAACGCACAUUGCGCCCCUUGGUAUUCCAUGGGGCAUGCCUGUUCGAGCGUCAUUUGUACCUUCAAGCUUUGCUUGGUGUUGGGUGUUUGUCCCGAGGGACUCGCCUUAAAGUAAUUGGCAGCCAGUGUUUGGUUUUGAAGCGCAGCACAAGUCGCGAUUCAAGGCUACACGCCCGCUUCCACAAGCCUUUUUUCACUUUUGACCUCGGAUCAGGUAGGGAUACCCGCUGAACUUAAGCAUAUCAAUAAGCGGAGGA
rnacentral:misc_RNA from 1 species